rnacentral:rRNA from 1 species
AUGGAUGCUGGUGGAGGUGGUGCUGCUGCCGGUGGCGGUGAAGCAGCAGCUGCAGGUGGAGAUGGCUCCAGGGCGGCGACGGGAGCCAUCCGUGCGGUGGCGAAGGUGCACCUCGCUCUCGGCUGGGCGGCGGCGACAUUCGCCCUCUGCGCCGUCACCCUCCAGCCCCAGCUGAAGCCGCAGGGAGGUCAGUGCGCGGCCACCGAGGUGGACGCGGCGACCAUGCGCGCCAAGGGGCUGCUGCUGCUGCUCCCCGCCGGCGCCCAGGCAGCGGCGACCACGGUGGCCGCCUUCGCGCCGGACGCCUGGAGAUGGGGGCGGCUGCACGUCGGCUGGACCUUCGCCGCCUUCACGCACGUCGUCAGCGUCUUCACCUACUUCCACCUCGAGGACGCCUUCACUGCUGCGGCCGCCGUCGCCUUCAGCGGCUGCCCCGCCCACAUGUACGUGGAGACGGCCAUGUUCAUCGCCCACAACGUCCUGCUCUUCGUGCCCCUUUGCGUCUUCUUCGUUGUAGGCAUCGCCGCACUCGUCGCCGCCGUGUGGUAG